UUGAAGAGUUUGAUCAUGGCUCAGAUUGAACGCUGGCGGCAGGCCUAACACAUGCAAGUCGAGCGGUAGCACAGAGAGCUUGCUCUCGGGUGACGAGCGGCGGACGGGUGAGUAAUGUCUGGGAAACUGCCUGAUGGAGGGGGAUAACUACUGGAAACGGUAGCUAAUACCGCAUAAUGUCGCAAGACCAAAGUGGGGGACCUUCGGGCCUCAUGCCAUCAGAUGUGCCCAGAUGGGAUUAGCUAGUAGGUGGGGUAAUGGCUCACCUAGGCGACGAUCCCUAGCUGGUCUGAGAGGAUGACCAGCCACACUGGAACUGAGACACGGUCCAGACUCCUACGGGAGGCAGCAGUGGGGAAUAUUGCACAAUGGGCGCAAGCCUGAUGCAGCCAUGCCGCGUGUGUGAAGAAGGCCUUCGGGUUGUAAAGCACUUUCAGCGGGGAGGAAGGCGGUGAGGUUAAUAACCUCACCGAUUGACGUUACCCGCAGAAGAAGCACCGGCUAACUCCGUGCCAGCAGCCGCGGUAAUACGGAGGGUGCAAGCGUUAAUCGGAAUUACUGGGCGUAAAGCGCACGCAGGCGGUCUGUCAAGUCGGAUGUGAAAUCCCCGGGCUUAACCUGGGAACUGCAUUCGAAACUGGCAGGCUAGAGUCUUGUAGAGGGGGGUAGAAUUCCAGGUGUAGCGGUGAAAUGCGUAGAGAUCUGGAGGAAUACCGGUGGCGAAGGCGGCCCCCUGGACAAAGACUGACGCUCAGGUGCGAAAGCGUGGGGAGCAAACAGGAUUAGAUACCCUGGUAGUCCACGCCGUAAACGAUGUCGAUUUGGAGGUUGUGCCCUUGAGGCGUGGCUUCCGGAGCUAACGCGUUAAAUCGACCGCCUGGGGAGUACGGCCGCAAGGUUAAAACUCAAAUGAAUUGACGGGGGCCCGCACAAGCGGUGGAGCAUGUGGUUUAAUUCGAUGCAACGCGAAGAACCUUACCUGGUCUUGACAUCCACAGAACUUUCCAGAGAUGGAUUGGUGCCUUCGGGAACUGUGAGACAGGUGCUGCAUGGCUGUCGUCAGCUCGUGUUGUGAAAUGUUGGGUUAAGUCCCGCAACGAGCGCAACCCUUAUCCUUUGUUGCCAGCGGUCCGGCCGGGAACUCAAAGGAGACUGCCAGUGAUAAACUGGAGGAAGGUGGGGAUGACGUCAAGUCAUCAUGGCCCUUACGACCAGGGCUACACACGUGCUACAAUGGCAUAUACAAAGAGAAGCGACCUCGCGAGAGCAAGCGGACCUCAUAAAGUAUGUCGUAGUCCGGAUUGGAGUCUGCAACUCGACUCCAUGAAGUCGGAAUCGCUAGUAAUCGUAGAUCAGAAUGCUACGGUGAAUACGUUCCCGGGCCUUGUACACACCGCCCGUCACACCAUGGGAGUGGGUUGCAAAAGAAGUAGGUAGCUUAACCUUCGGGAGGGCGCUUACCACUUUGUGAUUCAUGACUGGGGUGAAGUCGUAACAAGGUAACCGUAGGGGAACCUGCGGUUGGAUCACCUCCUU
rnacentral:rRNA from 1 species